GCUGGAAUAUCUCAGUUGGGAGAGCGUUAGACUGAAGAUCUAAAGGUCCCUGGUUCAAUCCCGGGUUCCCGCA
rnacentral:tRNA from 1 species